GACGAACGCUGGCGGCGUGGAUUAGGCAUGCAAGUCGGACGGUAGGGCUUUAUCGUAAGAUAGAGUUUGAGAGUGGCGAACGGGUGAGUAACACGUAGGAAUCUACCCUUAAGACGGGGACAACCCAGGGAAACUUGGGCUAAUACCGGAUGAGAGUGCGAGAGAUUGCAUUUAAAAGGAUGGCGAAAGUUGUCGCUUAGGGAUGAGCCUGCGGUCUAUUAGUUAGUUGGUGAGGUAAGAGCUCACCAAGGCGAUGAUAGAUAGGCGGCCUUAACGGGUGGUCGCCCACACUGGGAUUGAGAUACGGCCCAGACUCCUACGGGAGGCAGCAGUCGAGAAUAGUCUACAAUGGCCGAAGGCUGGAUAGUGCGACGCCGCGUGAACGAGGGAGCCCUUGGGGUCGUAAAGUUCUUUUCUAUUACGAGCAGUGCUAUAUAUAUGGAUAGUAUAUAUAGAGGGAUAGUAGUAUAGGAAUAAGCAACGGCUAAACUCCGUGCCAGCAGCCGA
rnacentral:rRNA from 1 species